UGGGGAAUAUUGCGCAAUGGGCGAAAGCCUGACGCAGCGACGCCGCGUGGGUGAUGAAGGCCUUCGGGUCGUAAAGCCCUGUCGGGAGGGACGAAACCUCGGUGACCUAGUACGUCACCGACCUGACGGUACCUCUUAAGGAAGCACCGGCUAACUCCGUGCCAGCAGCCGCGGUAAUACGGAGGGUGCGAGCGUUGUUCGGAAUUACUGGGCGUAAAGCGUGCGCAGGCGGUCUUGCAAGACAGUGGUGAAAUCCCCGGGCUCAACCUGGGAACUGCCAUUGUGACUGCAAGGCUGGAGUACGGCAGAGGGGGAUGGAAUUCCGCGUGUAGCAGUGAAAUGCGUAGAUAUGCGGAGGAACACCGAUGGCGAAGGCAGUCCCCUGAGCCUGUACUGACGCUCAUGCACGAAAGCGUGGGGAGCAAACA
rnacentral:rRNA from 1 species